GCCGCCGGGGAGUCCGUCCCCCGGGCAGCGGCGAGGCCUGACGCGGCCGGGCGACGCGCGCGCGCCAGCCCCGCUAACGGUGCUCGCCAGCCUCGCCCCCGGCGCGCCCGCGGCUCCGCCCCUCGCGCCUGCCCGCUCUGGGGGGGUGGGGUCGCGCGCGCGCGCGGGUGCUCGCCGCGUCUCCUAGCAACGUCCAAACAACGUCAGGUUCCAACGCGGUGGGCGGGGACGGGCGGGGCUUGGGCCGGGGCGUCUAGAUCUUUCUGCGGCCGACCGGCUGGGUGCGAGCGGGCGUCGCCGGCGCUGCCCCUCCUCCUGUCACCCCGUGGUGACCUCCGCAAGGCGGCGGCGGUGACUCGGGGUCCAGGGUGCUGGCGGACACUGGCCCCGCGGGCCCUGACGUCACGCGGCGGCCUCCCCAGCAUGGGCUGGCUCGGAUGGCAACCUCCUGCCUUUUGUGUAAGCCCAGGGUUCCCUCCUGCGAGCGUCCAGCUGCGCCCCAGAACCGUUGGGACUGGAACCAGUAACCCUAUGGCGGAGGAGGAGAGGCUCUCUCUGAAACGCGAAAUGGCCCAAGAGAAGCUAUGGAGAACUUUUAGUUACCAUGUCUUGCCUGCAUGCUGCCAUGCUCCUUUCCAUGAAGACAGAUUCAACUCCACAGAUGCACUAAACCUCUGAAACUGUAAGCAAGCCCUAGUUAAAUGCUUUCUUUUAUAAAAUUCCCAUGGUAUGACAGGCUGGCCUCGAACUCCUUCAGGAGCGAUGGUUGUCCCAGAAGAGGGAGAGGAUGAGGAUGAAGAGGACCUAGAGGCCAUGCAGUCCCGACUGGCCACACUUCAAAGCUAGAGCCACCCAGUUGGGGCCUCAUCUCUGGUGCCCUCCUCUAGGUGUGGGCACAGCCUCUGAGGAGUCACCAUUUCCUGUAUCUCUUGCACUACACCCCUGUUGUGAAGCAUUGCAUUUGGGGUUCUAUGCUAGUUUAUCUUCACUGUCUGCAGAGGUUUUAAGGAUUUUUUUUAUGAAGGUGGUUUAAUUAAAUGCAUUGUUUUCAAGAGCAUAAAUAGCAGAAGUAUCUUUCCUGGGGGAGGUCGAAGAAACCCAUUUUCUCAUGAAGCAGUUCUGAGAAGAGUCAAUUGAAUGUUGAUGACUCUCUACUGGUGUAUAUGUGUAAAAUGCCGCUUAAGUGGAUGUCAAUAAACUUCUACUUUAAAAAAAAAUUCCCA
rnacentral:lncRNA from 1 species